rnacentral:rRNA from 1 species
UACGAAGGGUGCAAGCGUUGUUCGGAAUUACUGGGCGUAAAGCGCGCGUAGGCGGGUUGGUAAGUCGAUUGUGAAAGCCCUGGGCUCAACCUAGGAAUUGCAGUUGAAACUGCCGAUCUUGAGUGCCUGAGAGGAUGGCGGAAUUGCCGGUGUAGUAGUGAAAUACGUAGAUAUCGGCAGGAACACCUGAGGCGAAGGCGGCUAUCUGGCGGUGCACUGACGCUAAGGCGCGAAAGCGUGGGGAGCAAACAGG